GAUGAACGCUGGCGGCGUGCUUAACACAUGCAAGUCGAACGAAGCAAUUUAACGGAAGUUUUCGGAUGGAAGUUAAAUUGACUGAGUGGCGGACGGGUGAGUAACGCGUGGGUAACCUGCCUCAUACAGGGGGAUAACAGUUAGAAAUGACUGCUAAUACCGCAUAAGCGCACAGUAUCGCAUGAUACAGUGUGAAAAACUCCGGUGGUAUGAGAUGGACCCGCGUCUGAUUAGCUAGUUGGUGGGGUAACGGCCUACCAAGGCGACGAUCAGUAGCCAACCUGAGAGGGUGACCGGCCACAUUGGGACUGAGACACGGCCCAAACUCCUACGGGAGGCAGCAGUGGGGAAUAUUGCACAAUGGGCGAAAGCCUGAUGCAGCGACGCCGCGUGAGCGAAGAAGUAUUUCGGUAUGUAAAGCUCUAUCAGCAGGGAAGAAAAAUGACGGUACCUGACUAAGAAGCACCGGCUAAAUACGUGCCAGCCGCCGCCGUAAAAC
rnacentral:rRNA from 1 species